UUUGGUUAAGUUAGAAAGGGCGCACGGUGGAUGCCUUGACACUAGGAGUCGAUGAAGGACGGGACUAACGCCGAUAUGCUUCGGGGAGCUGUAAGUAAGCUUUGAUCCGAAGAUUUCCGAAUGGGGAAACCCACCAUACGUAAUGGUAUGGUAUCCUUAUCUGAAUACAUAGGAUAAGGAAGACAGACCCAGGG
rnacentral:rRNA from 1 species